UACGGAGGGUGCAAGCGUUAUCCGGAUUCACUGGGUUUAAAGGGUGCGUAGGCGGGUAGGUAAGUCCGUGGUGAAAUCUCUGAGCUUAACUCAGAAACUGCCGUGGAUACUAUUUGCCUUGAAUAUUGUGGAGGUGAGCGGAAUAUGUCAUGUAGCGGUGAAAUGCUUAGAUAUGACAUAGAACACCAAUUGCGAAGGCAGCUCACUACACAAUGAUUGAUGCUGAGGCACGAAAGCGUGGGGAUCAAACAGG
rnacentral:rRNA from 1 species